UACAGAGGUCGCAAGCGUUGUUCGGAUUCACUGGGCGUAAAGGGUGCGCAGGUGGGUUGGCAAGUUCGAUGUGAAAGCCCCGGGCUUAACCCGGGAAUGGCAUUGGAAACUGCUGAUCUGGAGGAUCGGAGGGGGGACUGGAAUUCCUGGUGUAGCGGUGAAAUGCGCAGAUAUCAGGAGGAACACCGGUGGCGAAGGCGGGUCUCUGGGCCGAUACUGACGCUGAGGAGCGAAAGCGUGGGGAGCAAACAGG
rnacentral:rRNA from 1 species